rnacentral:rRNA from 1 species
GACGAACGCUGGCGGCGUGCUUAACACAUGCAAGUCGAACGGAAAGGCCCUGCUUUGGUGGGGUGCUCGAGUGGCGAACGGGUGAGUAACACGUGAGUAACCUGCCCUUGACUUUGGGAUAACUUCAGGAAACUGGGGCUAAUACCGGAUAGGAGCUCCUGCUGCAUGGUGGGGGGGGGAAAGUUUCGGCGGUUGGGGAUGGACUCGCGGCUUAUCAGCUUGUUGGUGGGGUAGUGGCUUACCAAGGCUUUGACGGGUAGCCGGCCUGAGAGGGUGACCGGCCACAUUGGGACUGAGAUACGGCCCAGACUCCUACGGGAGGCAGCAGUGGGGAAUAUUGCACAAUGGGCGGAAGCCUGAUGCAGCAACGCCGCGUGCGGGAUGACGGCCUUCGGGUUGUAAACCGCUUUCGCCUGUGACGAAGCGUGAGUGACGGUACUGGGUAAAGAAGCACCGGCUAACUACGUG